GUUCGGCCAGAACUAAUGUUCGAAACAAAAUGAAUUGUUUUAAGUUCGUGACAAAGAAUAUUUCAUCAGAAUUUCUACGACGGCUUUUGAACUCGUAGCGUUAUAUGCAAAUGACAAAGUACCAAAAGACCAGGCGAGCAAAAGAAUUAUGCCACAGGACUGAACGGUGAACAAGUUAGCAAGACUGGGGGCACGAGUCGAGAGAGCGCUUUGACACGUGGUGAUAUUAUUUAUAGGAAACGGUAGUGGCUCCGUAUAGUUGGCAGGCAAAUAAAACUAUCUUGAUUUUUUAUCAAUGCAGUCAUUUGGGAAUUGUUUGGACAAGUUUAGGAAUGUAGUUUUAUAGUUUAGGAAAUGAUACUGUAUUCGUUAUUAAUAAAAAUCUAUCGAGCAUGUAGUUAGCAGGUAUAAUUGAAACAAAAAAAAAAUGUUGUCCACAUUUAAGUCGAAAUCGUUUGGGAAACACGCCUGUGAUAAACUCAACGUUUUGAAAAUUUUAUUGUAUUACAUAAUAUAAAAACAUUAAUUUACCAUCAGAUAAUUCACGAGAAAUACACGCGUUAUCGAAUGCGUGUGCAUUUUCAUACUCUAUCGACUGUACUCACUGUACCGAUUGAAUUAUGGAACCUUAUUUCCAAUUCCGGUUAUUUCUAUUACGUCCAACCAUUUUGGAGGAUUGGAGCUGAUUGAAGCUUUAGGAAAUGAUAUUGUUGCACAUACAGUAAAGUGAAAUGUCAAAUAAAAUUAUUUUCAUCCGUUUAUUACCUGUAAACAGGUAGGGUAGACCGAGGCGAAUCGGAUCAAUUUUUUUUAGGAAUAUGAAAAUCAUACUAAAGUGAAAUAUAUGUAACUUUUAUUGACACAAUGGUAAUCGGUACAAUUCAGCUACGCAAUAAACAUUUUAAAACUUAAA
rnacentral:lncRNA from 1 species